rnacentral:rRNA from 1 species
UACGAAGGGGGCUAGCGUUGCUCGGAAUCACUGGGCGUAAAGCGCACGUAGGCGGCUUCCUAAGUCAGGGGUGAAAUCCUGGAGCUCAACUCCAGAACUGCCUUCGAUACUGGCGAUCUUGAGUCCGGAAGAGGUGGGUGGAACUCCUAGUGUAGAGGUGGAAUUCGUAGAUAUUAGGAAGAACACCCAGUGGCGAAGGCGGCUCACUGGCCCGAUACUGACGCUGAGGCACGAAAGCG